rnacentral:rRNA from 1 species
AUGUUCAACGUCAAUUAUGGGGUGAUCACUCUUCUACCUAAGGUUUCUGGGGCUGAUAAAAUUCAACAGUUUAGACCUAUAUGCCUCCUUAGGUGCCCAUAUAAACUUAUCACCAAAGCCAUGGAUCGUAGGGUUGAGAAAUAUGCUGACAAGCUAAUCAGCCCCACCCAGAAUGGUUUUGUGAAGGGGAGGAAUAUCAUUGAUGGGGUUCUGUCUCUCCAUGCAAUCCUUAAUUACACCCAUGUUAAAAAAAGGGUGGGAAUUGUGUUGAAGCUCGACUUUGAAAAAUCCUAUGACAAAGUCAACUGGGACUUCCUGUUGGAAUGUCAUAGAUUACGAGGCUUUAAUGAAACCUGGUGCGGUUGGGUUAAACAAAUCCUGCACAAUGGAACGAUUAGUAUUAAGCUCAACAACUGUGUCGGGCCAUACUUCCAUAGUGCUAAAGGGGUGCGCCAGGGGGACCCCCACUCCCCUUUCCUUUUUAAUCUUGUUGUGGAGUGUUUGUCUAAAAUGACUACAAAUGCUCAGAGAAAUACGUUGAUCGUUGGCCUAGCCCCGGACUUGAUCCCCGAUGGGGUUGUAGUGUUAUAG